rnacentral:rRNA from 1 species
ACGGCUCAGUAACACGUGGAUAACCUACCCUUAGGACCGGGAUAACCCUGGGAAACUGGGGAUAAUACUGGAUAGGCAAUUUUUCCUGUAAUGGUUUUUUGUUUAAAUGUUUUUUCGCCUAAGGAUGGGUCUGCGGCCGAUUAGGUAGUUGGUUAGGUAAUGGCUUACCAAGCCGUUGAUCGGUACGGGUUGUGAGAGCAAGAGCCCGGAGAUGGAACCUGAGACAAGGUUCCAGGCCCUACGGGGUGCAGCAGGCGCGAAACCUCCGCAAUGUGAGAAAUCGCGACGGGGGGAUCCCAAGUGCCAUUCUUAACGGGAUGGCUUUUCAUUAGUGUAAAAAGCUUUUGGAAUAAGARCUGGGCAAGACCGGUGCCAGCCGCCGCGGUAACACCGGCAGCUCUAGUGGUAGCAAUUUUUAUUGGGCCUAAAGCGUCCGUAGCCGGUUUAAUAAGUCUCUGGUGAAAUCCUGUAGCUUAACUGUGGGAAUUGCUGGAGAUACUAUUAGACUUGAGACCGGGAGAGGUUAGAGGUACUCCCAGGGUAGAGGUGAAAUUCUGUAAUCCUGGGAGGACCGCCUGUUGCGAAGGCGUCUAACUGGAACGGUUCUGACGGUGAGGGACGAAAGUUAGGGGCGCGAACCGGAUUAGAUACCUGGGUAGUCCUAACUGUAAACGAUGCGGACUUGGUGUUGGGGUGGCUUUGAGCUGCUCCAGUGCCGAAGGGAAGCUGUUAAGUCCGCCGCCUGGGAAGUACGGUCGCAAGACUGAAACUUAAGGAAUUGGCGGGGGAGCAC